GCUCCUCCUUAGCUCCAUGGCCGGCCAUGGCCAUGGAAAGCCACCAAGAUGGAGCUCCCCUCCUUCCUCAAGCUUCCCCUCACCAUGAGAGCAUCUCUCUCACUCUCUUCUCCCCUAACCCUAGAUGAAUCCAGCUCUAUUUCUCCUUUCUCCUCUCACAAGAUUGGAUCUUGAUGCAGGUGCAUGUUGGUCCAAGCAUGGAGAAGCUUGAGCAAUCCUCAGAUCUGAAACUCUUGACCAAAAUCCAAAUCGAGUGAUUCAAAGUUCCACAGAUAGGUAUUGAAAAGAUCUACAACUUGGCGUUGGUCUCAUCCUCAAAUUCAUUACGGAUUUUGCAUGAUCAAGAUCUGGUCAGAUCUGACUUUGUCGAAUUAAACCAGGAGCUUGGAGACGAAUUUUUGAAUGAAAACAACUGGGGGAUACUUAGUUGUGCCAUGGUGAUACCUAGAGAGGCAAUUGCUAAGUCGUGGCACUCUCAUACCUUUACUAGAUGCGAACAAUUUCGGAGGAGAAGAAGAAGAAGUGGAAUCGGACAAGGAUUUUAUUUGUACUGUGGGAAUUCUUAUUUGAUGGAGUUGAAGAAGUCCAGGGACAAAUAAGCCAAG